rnacentral:rRNA from 1 species
AAAGUGUGACGGAGCAAUGCCGCGUGCAGGAUGAAGUAGCUUCGCUAUGUAAACUGCUGUCAGGGGCGAGAAACAAUGAUCAGCCCCAGAGGAAGGACCGGCUAAACUCGUGCCAGCAGCCGCGGUAAUACGAGUGGUCCAAGCGUUAGUCGGAAUCACUGGGCUUAAAGGGUGCGUAGGCCGACCGGAAAGCAUCUUGUGAAAUCCCUUCGCUCAACGGAGGAACCGCAGGGUGAACUGCCGGUCUAGAGGAACCUAGAGGCGGGCGGAACGAUAGGUGGAGCGGUGGAAUGCGUAGAUAUCUAUCGGAACGCCAAAGGUGAAGACAGCCCGCUGGGGGUUUCCUGACGCUGAGGCACGAAAGCGUGGGGAUCAAACAGGAUUAGAUACCCUGGUAGUCCACGCCCUAAACGAUGCGCACUAGACCGUUGCCGGUCUGACCCGGUAAUGGUCGUAGAGAAAUUGAUAAGUGCGCCGCCUGGGGAGUACGGUCGCAAGGCUA